rnacentral:rRNA from 1 species
UACGUAGGGUCCGAGCGUUGUCCGGAAUUAUUGGGCGUAAAGGGCGCGUAGGCGGCCAGCACAAGUCAGUUGUGAAAUCUCCGGGCUUAACUCGGAAAGGUCAACUGAUACUGUGCGGCUAGAGUGCAGAAGGGGCAACUGGAAUUCUCGGUGUAGCGGUGAAAUGCGUAGAUAUCGAGAGGAACACCUGCGGCGAAGGCGGGUUGCCUGGGCUGACACUGACGCUGAUGCGCGAAAGCCAGGGGAGCGAACGGG